UAAGAAGGGGGCGAGCGUGGUUCGGAAUUACUGGGCGUAAAGGGCGCGUAGGCGGCCGAUCAAGUCAGAUGUGAAAGUCCUGGGCUUAACCUGGGGACUGCAUUUGAUACUGAUUGGCUUGAAUUCGGGAGAGGAUAGCGGAAUUCCCAGUGUAGAGGUGAAAUUCGUAGAUAUUGGGAAGAACACCAGUGGCGAAGGCGGCUCACUGGACUGGUAUUGACGCUGAGGUGCGAAAGCGUGGGGAGCAAACAGG
rnacentral:rRNA from 1 species